rnacentral:rRNA from 1 species
AAAUUGAAGAGUUUGAUCAUGGCUCAGAUUGAACGCUGGCGGCAGGCCUAACACAUGCAAGUCGAACGGUAACAGGAAGAAGCUUGCUUCUUUGCUGACGAGUGGCGGACGGGUGAGUAAUGUCUGGGAAACUGCCUGAUGGAGGGGGAUAACUACUGGAAACGGUAGCUAAUACCGCAUAACGUCGCAAGACCAAAGAGGGGGACCUUCGGGCCUCUUGCCAUCGGAUGUGCCCAGAUGGGAUUAGCUUGUUGGUGGGGUAACGGCUCACCAAGGCGACGAUCCCUAGCUGGUCUGAGAGGAUGACCAGCCACACUGGAACUGAGACACGGUCCAGACUCCUACGGGAGGCAGCAGUGGGGAAUAUUGCACAAUGGGCGCAAGCCUGAUGCAGCCAUGCCGCGUGUAUGAAGAAGGCCUUCGGGUUGUAAAGUACUUUCAGCGGGGAGGAAGGGAGUAAAGUUAAUACCUUUGCUCAUUGACGUUACCCGCAGAAGAAGCACCGGCUAACUCCGUGCCAGCAGCCGCGGUAAUACGGAGGGUGCAAGCGUUAAUCGGAAUUACUGGGCGUAAAGCGCACGCAGGCGGUUUGUUAAGUCAGAUGUGAAAUCCCCGGGCUCAACCUGGGAACUGCAUCUGAUACUGGCAAGCUUGAGUCUCGUAGAGGGGGGGUAGAAUUCCAGGUGUAGCGGUGAAAUGCGUAGAGAUCUGGAGGAAUACCGGUGGCGAAGGCGGCCCCCUGGACGAAGACUGACGCUCAGGUGCGAAAGCGUGGGGAGCAAACAGGAUUAGAUACCCUGGUAGUCCACGCCGUAAACGAUGUCGACUUGGAGGUUGUGCCCUUGAGGCGUGGCUUCCGGAGCUAACGCGUUAAGUCGACCGCCUGGGGAGUACGGCCGCAAGGUUAAAACUCAAAUGAAUUGACGGGGGCCCGCACAAGCGGUGGAGCAUGUGGUUUAAUUCGAUGCAACGCGAAGAACCUUACCUGGUCUUGACAUCCACGGAAGUUUUCAGAGAUGAGAAUGUGCCUUCGGGAACCGUGAGACAGGUGCUGCAUGGCUGUCGUCAGCUCGUGUUGUGAAAUGUUGGGUUAAGUCCCGCAACGAGCGCAACCCUUAUCCUUUGUUGCCAGCGGUCCGGCCGGGAACUCAAAGGAGACUGCCAGUGAUAAACUGGAGGAAGGUGGGGAUGACGUCAAGUCAUCAUGGCCCUUACGACCAGGGCUACACACGUGCUACAAUGGCGCAUACAAAGAGAAGCGACCUCGCGAGAGCAAGCGGACCUCAUAAAGUGCGUCGUAGUCCGGAUUGGAGUCUGCAACUCGACUCCAUGAAGUCGGAAUCGCUAGUAAUCGUGGAUCAGAAUGCCACGGUGAAUACGUUCCCGGGCCUUGUACACACCGCCCGUCACACCAUGGGAGUGGGUUGCAAAAGAAGUAGGUAGCUUAACCUUCGGGAGGGCGCUUACCACUUUGUGAUUCAUGACUGGGGUGAAGUCGUAACAAGGUAACCGUAGGGGAACCUGCGGUUGGAUCACCUCCUUA